rfam:Penicillium freii strain DAOM 242723 scaffold_846, whole genome shotgun sequence.
GGUUCUGUAGUGUAAUGGCUAUCACCCUGGUUUCUGAUACCAGUAAUCCCGGUUCGAUCCCGGGCAGGACCU